rnacentral:rRNA from 1 species
GUGGGGAAUCUUCCGCAAUGGACGAAAGUCUGACGGAGCAACGCCGCGUGAGUGAUGAAGGUCUUCGGAUUGUAAAGCUCUGUUAAUCGGGACGAAAGAGCCUAGUGUGAAUAAUGCUAGGAAGUGACGGUACCGGAAUAGAAAGCCACGGCUAACUACGUGCCAGCAGCCGCGGUAAUACGUAGGUGGCAAGCGUUGUCCGGAAUUAUUGGGCGUAAAGCGCGCGCAGGCGGAUCUGCCAGUCUGUCUUAAAAGUUCGGGGCUUAACCCCGUGAUGGGAUGGAAACUACAGAUCUAGAGUAUCGGAGAGGAAAGUGGAAUUCUUAGUGUAGCGGUGAAAUGCGUAGAUAUUAGGAAGAACACCAGUGGCGAAGGCGACUUUCUGGACGAAAACUGACGCUGAGGCACGAAAGCCAGGGGAGCGAACGGGAUUAGAUACCCGAGUAGUCC